UACAGAGGGGGCAAGCGUUGUUCGGAAUUACUGGGCGUAAAGGGCGCGUAGGCGGCCUGCUAAGUCGAACGUGAAAUCCCCGAGCUCAACUCGGGAACUGCGUCCGAUACUGGCAGGCUUGAAUCCGGGAGAGGGAUGCGGAAUUCCAGGUGUAGCGGUGAAAUGCGUAGAUAUCUGGAGGAACACCGGUGGCGAAGGCGGCAUCCUGGACCAACACUGACACUGAGGAGCGAAAGCCAGGGGAGCAAACGGG
rnacentral:rRNA from 1 species